GAUGAAGAACGUAGCGAAAUGCGAUACUUGGUGUGAAUUGCAGAAUCCCGUGAACCAUCGAGUCUUUGAACGCAAGUUGCGCCCGAAGCCAUUAGGCCGAGGGCACGCCUGCCUGGGCGUCACACGUCGUUGCCCCCCCAUCUACUCCUUCGGGAUUGCGGGGGGCGGAUGAUGGCCUCCCGUGCGCCUCGUCGCGCGGUUGGCAUAAAUGCCAAGUCCUCGGCGACACACGCCACGACAAUCGGUGGUUGCGAAACCUCGUUUGCCCGUCGUGUGCGGUCGUCGCGCAUCGAGGGCUCGAAAAAAUUGCCGGGCUCCGGCUCGGCUUUCAACGCGACCCCAGGUCAGGCGGGGUUACCCGCUGAAUUUAAGCAUAUCAAUAAGCGGAGGA
rnacentral:misc_RNA from 1 species